rnacentral:rRNA from 1 species
UACGAAGGGGGCUAGCGUUGCUCGGAAUCACUGGGCGUAAAGGGUGCGUAGGCGGGUCUUUUAAGUCAGGGGUGAAAUCCUGGAGCUCAACUCCAGAACUGCCUUUGAUACUGAAGAUCUUGAGUUUCGGGAGAGGUGAGUGGAACUGCGAAGUGUAGAGGUGAAAUUCGUAGAUAUUCGCAAGAACACCAGUGGCGAAGGCGGCUCACUGGCCCGAUACUGACGCUGAGGCACGAAAGCGUGGGGAGCAAACAGG